GGGGAAUAUUGCACAAUGGGGGAAACCCUGAUGCAGCGACGCCGCGUGAGCGAAGAAGUAUUUCGGUAUGUAAAGCUCUAUCAGCAGGAAAGAAAAUGACGGUACCUGACUAAGAAGCCCCGGCUAACUAC
rnacentral:rRNA from 1 species